AGAGCUGCUCGUUGAUGGACAUGAAUCGCAAGUCAUCCCUCCCUUUGUUUUUCGAGCGGCGGAUUGGACCAUUGCAUGGACGUUAAGGCUGCCAACUAAACUAACGUUGUAUAAAAUUUUCAUACAUUGAACUGCUUUACUACAUUGAGAAUUUACCAUUUUGUCCGUUCACGCCAGUACUUCUUGCUCUAUCUUAGGAUCUGUGGUAUCCAUGAGUUUCCCGUCCCCCAACACGUGGUUGAAAUGAAAUAAUCAUUUUAGCCCAGGACUCCAUGGACUAAGAACUGGAAGAUUCUGAGGAGGAGAUGGGCCAAUGCACUGAAAGUCUAAAGCGCUAGAUAAUAAAAACAUUUAAAUCUCAUUCUGAUUCUCUAACUAAUGAACAUUUUAUUGAUUUCUACAGAUAUGGGAAAACAAAGAAGAAGAAUAUUUUCAUUAGUCAUUGUAGUUGGCACGGCAGUGGUGUUCAUGCCCUGUUCUUACUUGAGCAAUGCCCAGAUUAAUAGCCUAAACCUGGCAAAUUGUCAUCAUACUCCAGAUUGAUGAAAUGGAGAGAAUGAUGAAAAAAUCACCCUUUCAUCACAAUGACAGCCUAAUUUGAGCUUGCUCGAGUGCAUGCUGCUGUCAACCUGAUGCAGCCAGCAACGGAAGAAGAACCAAGAUGAUUGAACAAACCUAAACAACAAUUACAUUCAAAGGUCAGACCUUGAAGUUGGUGACGCAACUGCUCACUCUUCCUCGGCGCCGUCACUCCGACUUUUAUGGAAAUUGUUACGGCUUCUGCUGUCGUUGUUUCGACAAUCGAUGUGAUUACAACUGCUGGCACGGGGACGUGCAAUGAAGGCCUUUCGAUGAGCUAAGGUUCCUGACUGGAAUGGUGGAGUUCCAGUGGUGAAGCCAAACAAGUAAACAAGAUUGCAUUGAGAGAAUGCUUUAAUUAUUAUAAUGUCAAUUUAAUAAGCUUAAUUUUCUAGAAAUGGUAUGUUGUGCAUUGAAAGUGAGUGAAGUAAAAAGCAAAAAGGAAAUUUUUCUGAGAUUAAAUGAGACAGAAAAGUAGACUGAAAGUAGAAUGAAAAAAAUAUUGACCAAAGAACACUAGUGUUUAGAUUAGUUGGGAUAGGUAAUCAUGAUACUCGGGAGCUAGAUUAAGCUUGUUAUUGUUGUACUAUUUUUCACGUGAGUUCUCUUAAAUGAAGUAAUUAGUCAAAUCGGUAAUGAUACUGUAAUAAAUAAACUUCAUAAAUUGAUAUAUA